CUCAGUCCUACUGAGACAAUCAUGGCAGAGCAGGGAGGAGGAGCCUCAAGAGGUUAUUUAAGAGAUGGGUGUGGUUAUCGGCCUCCCUUUGGUCCUUGAGCCUGCUCUGUCCAUGCUGCCACAGCACUUAAGUAGAAGUUUGUUUGACCACUGAAACCACAAAGAAGAUCUAGAGACUUAGAAUUGUUUGUCUACUUUAAAGGACACAUAUGAGAAGCUGAAGCAAUUCCUCACUCCUUGUGUAACAUAUUGGAUGCAUAAAUUAAUGGUUACUUCACUUCAGUGCAGGCCGUGCUGUUUGGGGCAACUCCCCCUCAACGAAGUGGUCCUGCAAGUGUUGCAGUUUCUCCUCGCCAAACAAACACACACUAAUUGUCCAUUAUAAACUGAAGCACUGUCAUCAGGCAAGGAACUGUCCUCUUCCUUGUGUCUAUGCAGACUGUGUGCAUGGCCGUAACUACCAUUGAGGACACUGAGGUCAUGUCCUCGGUAUUUUUUUCAAGAGACAAAAAGAAGGUGAUAUAACUGAUGGCAAAUAUACUUUGUGUUGGACAUCACUUGCGCCUCUACAUCACUGUGCGGUAGAUCAUCCUCUCGUAACUACACGAUCUUUGGUCAUCACAGUGGUUUGAAGGUGGUCUGCCCCAAAAAUCCACCAGAUUAGUACUGAUUUCUAAUGUAUAGACCGCUACAACAGAGUCCAGCCAAGGUAACGCAAUGGAAGUUCACUUUACAUUU